rnacentral:rRNA from 1 species
AUUGAACGCUGGCGGCGUGCCUAACACAUGCAAGUCGAGCGGCAGCGCGGUAGCAAUACUGGCGGCGAGCGGCGGACGGGUGAGCAAUGCUUGGGAAUCUGCCUAUCAGUGGGGGACAACCCGGGGAAACUCGGGCUAAUACCGCAUACGUUCUUCGGAAGAAAGCAGGGGAGUCGCAAGACCUUGCGCUGAUAGAUGAGCCCAAGUCGGAUUAGCUAGUUGGUGAGGUAAUGGCUCACCAAGGCGACGAUCCGUAGCUGGUCUGAGAGGACGACCAGCCACACCGGAACUGAGACACGGUCCGGACUCCUACGGGAGGCAGCAGUGGGGAAUAUUGGACAAUGGGGGGCGAACCCUGAUCCAGCGACGCCGCGUGGUGAAGAAGGCCUGCGGUGUAAGCCCUUCGUUGGGGAAGAACAGUGUCGACCUAACACGUCGGCACCUUGACGUUACCCAAAGAAGAAGCACCGGCUAACUCUGUGCCAGCAGCCG